rnacentral:rRNA from 1 species
AUUGAACGCUGGCGGCAGGCUUAACACAUGCAAGUCGAGCGGGGAAGGGUAGCUUGCUACCUAACCUAGCGGCGGACGGGUGAGUAAUGCUUAGGAAUCUGCCUAUUAGUGGGGGACAACAUCUCGAAAGGGAUGCUAAUACCGCAUACGUCCUACGGGAGAAAGCAGGGGACCUUCGGGCCUUGCGCUAAUAGAUGAGCAUAAGUCGGAUUAGCUAGUUGGUGGGGUAAAGGCCUACCAAGGCGACGAUCUGUAGCGGGUCUGAGAGGAUGAUCCGCCACACUGGGACUGAGACACGGCCCAGACUCCUACGGGAGGCAGCAGUGGGGAAUAUUGGACAAUGGGGGGAACCCUGAUCCAGCCAUGCCGCGUGUGUGGAGAAGGCCUUUUGGUUGUAAAGCACUUUAAACGAGGAGGAGGCUACUGGUAUUAAUACUACCGGAUAGUGGACGUUACUCGCAGAAUAAGCACCGGCUAACUCUGUGCCAGCCGCCGCAGUAACAC